AAUUUCCCACUGCGAGGCAGGCAGUGAUGCUGUGGCCGCUUCGCACUGUGGCUCCUGCCGACCGCCAGGCGCUGCUACGGUGGAUGCGAACUAACCGUAAGUAUGCAGCAGCAGCUGGAACCCACAGUUCACCUUGGUGCAUUCCUUUAUGAUGAAGACUUAUUGAUUCAUUAUAUGAGAAAGGAAAAAUGAGCAGAAACUACUGUAUGAUGUGCAGCUCACACCUGACAGCACCUUUAGGGUUAUCUUUCCAGUUCAGCAGUGCAACUCUAUGGAGUAGAAUUGAAAGGAGACUUUCGCCAAUUGCAGGAAAUGGUCAUAAAAAAAUACCUGUUCACUGACAGAAUAAAGUAGAGACGGAGUUUCACUGUGUUAGCCAGGAUGGCCUCGAUCUCCUGACCUCGUGAUCCGCCAGCCUUGGCCUCCCAAAGUGCUGGGAUUACAGGCGUGAGCCACCGCACCCGGCCUCCCCUUUUUUACAGAAGGUGCUUCAUGCAGACAUCUGUACACCAGAUUUACUUCUGCAAAAUGCUGAUGCUAUGAAUAAUGCUUUUGAAUAUUAAUAAGGCAAAACAGACCAGCACAUGUGCCUCACUCUUCAUGGUAAACGUUUUACUGAAGAAUAACAUACAGAAAAGUGGACAAGUCUUAACUGCACAGCUCAAGGAAUUUCCAUGAAAUAAGAUUAGCAUAUUCGUAGUCUGGAAAAUGCUAUACGAAGAAUGUAAAACAUGAAACUACUUGUGGACCAAAUGAAAAACUGUGGAGCAGAUUAUGAUGCAGUUAGACCUUGCUUGAAUGACUUUGACCCACAAAAGCAGAGUAAUUUAUCCCUACUUACAGAGAGAUUGCCCUACGUGUAACAGCUGCAUACAAAAAAGUUAUAAAAUUAUCAUUGGUUUAACAAGGAUAAAUGAAAAACAUUAAAAUUCUCCAACUGAACAAGGUGUGUCUGUUUCAUUGAUUGGCUGACUGUCAAAUCGGAAUCUGAUCUGCCCCAUUGACAAUGCCUUGGGCUUUUCCUCGGCCAUGGCAAAUGCCAGAGUAUUCUCAGCUGCCGCUUCACAAAAGAGGUACCAGCUUCUCACCGAACGAACACAGUGCAGCACCAGGAGUGACAGAAGAAGGAGGCGGCAGCGGUGGUUGAGGGACAGGGUGCGUGCACGUCCAAGUACAGUUCUUAAAAUGUUGAGGGCAUACAACAUAUGCUCAAUAAAUACCUGAUUUUUAAAAAAGACAAUGACUAUGGAAAACUCUUGAUCAUUAACCCGAAGGGAGAGUCUAGUUUCCAGGAAGCAUUUGUUUGUAUACACUGUUUAACCCAAGGAUACACUCUUUUCUCCGUGGCAGCGUGACUCAUCUUAGUCUCCAA